GACGAACGCUGGCGGCGUGCUUAACACAUGCAAGUCGAACGGAAAGGCCCCUUUGGGGGUACUCGAGUGGCGAACGGGUGAGUAACACGUGAGUAACCUGCCCUUGACUUCGGGAUAACUUCAGGAAACUGGGGCUAAUACCGGAUAGGAAUCCUUGCUGCAUGGUGGGGGUUGCAAAGCUUCGGCGGUUUUGGAUGGACUCGCGGCUUAUCAGCUUGUUGGUGGGGUAGUGGCUUACCAAGGCUUUGACGGGUAGCCGGCCUGAGAGGGCGACCGGCCACAGUGGGACUGAGAUACGGCCCAGACUCCUACGGGAGGCAGCAGUGGGGAAUAUUGCACAAUGGGCGGAAGCCUGAUGCAGCAACGCCGCGUGCGGGAUGACGGACUUCGGGUUGUAAACCGCUUUCAGCAGGGGCGAAGCUUGUGGUGACGGUACCUGCAGAAGAAGCACCGGCUAACUACGUG
rnacentral:rRNA from 1 species